rnacentral:tRNA from 1 species
GCGAAAGUGGCGGAAUUGGUAGACGCACUGGAUUUAGGUUCCAGCGCCGAAAGGCAUGUGGGUUCGAGUCCCUCCUUUCGCA